rnacentral:rRNA from 1 species
AGCGAACGCUGGCGGCAGGCCUAACACAUGCAAGUCGAACGAAGUCUUCGGACUUAGUGGCGGACGGGUGAGUAACACGUGGGAACGUGCCUUUAGGUUCGGAAUAACUCAGGGAAACUUGUGCUAAUACCGAAUGUGCCCUUCGGGGGAAAGAUUUAUCGCCUUUAGAGCGGCCCGCGUCUGAUUAGCUAGUUGGUGAGGUAAAGGCUCACCAAGGCUGCGAUCAGUAGCUGGUCUGAGAGGAUGACCAGCCACAGGGACUGAGACACGGCCCAAACUCCUACGGGAGGCAGCAGUGGGGAAUCUUGCGCAAUGGGCGAAAGCCUGACGCAGCCAUGCCGCGUGGAUGAUGAAGGUCUUAGGAUUGUAAAAUCCUUUCACCGGUGAAGAUAAUGACUGUAGCCGGAGAAGAAGCCCCGGCUAACUUCGUGCCAGCCGCCGCCGUAACAC